ACUUCGCUGGAUCAGCUCCUGAUUCCUCGCGUGCUGACCAAGAGAGUUGCUUUCAUCGAAGAUCCUCAGAGCUUUCACAGCAAAACCACAAACAUAUUGCAUGAGGAUUAUUUGAAGGGAACCAAGAGUCAUCGGGCAAAAGGAAGAAUUGUCGUUUGUCGAGUUCUAUCAGAACCAGCUGUCCAAGGGAGUUUGGGCAGGAAACAAAAUAAGUCGACACCUAGAAAAAUAACAGGAAAUAAUAGGAGCUGUUGGAUACUGUGGAAAAGUGGCCUGAAGACCUAACCUAGCAGCAAGCACAGCAUGGAGAAACGGAGACUUAUCACUGCAGCGGAGGAGUUUGCUGGCAGUUCGACCUGCCGAAUCCUGCCACGCCCAAGGUGGCUAGUGACAAGGAGGCAGCCACCAUUUGACGAGCACUAGUGGGUACUCCUUCCCCUGUCAUUUUGAGAUCCUGCAAAUACUGGUGUCCUACCAUGUUAGCAAAGCCCCAAGUGAUAAUGACUGGUAUUUCUUCUCAACAUGCCGCUGCCUGGACACGGAGGGAUUCACUGUAUCUGCUGCUUUCUAGCCUGCCCCAAGAUGUGGAACAUGAAAAAGGAAGGUGCCGUUUCUCUUGGCGGUACAAGUAGACAGCUGAGUCUUGACCGUUUGUGGUAUUGUGUAUAGAUGGGUUUAAAUCAGUGAUUCCCAACCAGUGUGCCAGGGCACAUUAAUGUGCCGUGACCACUCUUCGGGUGUGCCACAGGAAAUUAUCAAAUUUUACUUAAUUGCUCAAGAAAUGAUUUAUUUCCAAGAAAUAAUGGAUCUUUAUUCAUCUAUUUAUGCCAGACGGAACAAAUAAAUGCUCUUCUAUUAGAUGGCAGGAAGUACUUAUAACGAAUGUAUCCACUUUUUGUGACAUUUUUGUUUGUGGGUGUCCUGUGAGAUAUUUCAGUUGUAAAAUAUCAAGUCAUUUAGGCGGGACAUAAAAACUAUUUUAGGGGGCCAAGACAAAAUAUUUGACCUAACCACGAACAGCGAAAUCAUAUUGGGGGUGGCUUAAGAAAAUUAUAGGGAGACUUCAGCCCACUAAAAUAGGCCUAGUGAUACCAUUGGGCCAGUUCCUUUUCGAAACAAAAUAGUAAAAUCUAUUUUGCGGUAAGACUAUAAAUAGUGUGCAAGAACCCAUAUACAUUUCAAAAUGAAAGAAAGUUGCAGAAAUAUAUAAUGAAUAGACCCUUCACUUAUUUUGAUGGCAGAAUGUAUAAACCUAAACCGCAAAUAAGUGGGAACUUACUUUUUUGCUGCUUGGAAAAAGUAGUCGUCCAUGAUUCAACCAAAAUGCUGUGCACCAUUUUCUCCACAAUAACAUAACCAAAGUUGACCAAGCACAAAUGACGAUUUCAUGACAUUUGUUUUAGAAAUGUACUUGUUUGCUGUAGGUGCCGCUCAAGCAUACCAACAGAUUUGUUCGAAAACUCUGAGUUUGCUUUCAAAAUCAGCAGACUACAGUAUACUACAAAAUACUCAUUUAACUCAUUCACUGCCUUUGACGGCUGUUGAAUUCAAAUAUACAUUGAUUUUAAAUUAAAAAAUAUUCAAAUUGACAGGCAUUCAACCAUCAGUGAGUCAAAUAAUCAUGCAAAUUAUGAAAAUGUCUUGUUUGU